rnacentral:rRNA from 1 species
GACGAACGCUGGCGGCGUGCUUAACACAUGCAAGUCGAACGGAAAGGCCCGCCUUUGUGGGGUGCCCGAGGGGCGAACGGGUGAGUAACACCUGAGUUAACCUCCCUUGACCUUUGGAUUACUUCCAGAAACCUGGGCCAAUACCGGGAUAGAGCCUCCGGCUGAAGGUGGGGGGUGGGAAGGUUUCGGCGGUUGGGGAUGGACUCGCGGCUUAUCAGCUUGUUGGUGGGGUAGUGGCUUACCAAGGCUUUGACGGGUAGCCGGCCUGAGAGGGUGACCGGCCACAUUGGGACUGAGAUACGGCCCAGACUCCUACGGGAGGCAGCAGUGGGGAAUAUUGCACAAUGGGCGGAAGCCUGAUGCAGCAACGCCGCGUGCGGGAUGACGGCCUUCGGGUUGUAAACCGCUUUCGCCUGUGACGAAGCGUGAGUGACGGUAAUGGGUAAAGAAGCACCGGCUAACUACGUG